rnacentral:rRNA from 1 species
UACAGAGGGGGCAAGCGUUGUUCGGAAUUACUGGGCGUAAAGGGCGCGUAGGCGGCCUUCUAAGUCGAACGUGAAAUCCCUGGGCUCAACCCAGGAACUGCGUCCGAUACUGGAAGGCUUGAAUCCGGGAGAGGGAUGCGGAAUUCCAGGUGUAGCGGUGAAAUGCGUAGAUGUCUGGAGGAACACCGGUGGCGAAGGCGGCAUCCUGGACCGGCAUUGACGCUGAGGCGCGAAAGCCAGGGGAGCAAACGGG